CUACGGUCAAAUCCCGAUGAAAAUACCGGUUGCCGUUUGAUUACCAAAGUUAAGCAGCGGUGAGUCCAGUCAAUACUAAAAUGGGUGACCGUUUGGGAAA